rnacentral:rRNA from 1 species
UAACUGUCUCUAGAGAGAUAUUAUUAAACUUACUCAAGAAGUGAAAAUACUUCUAAUAUAUUUAAAAGACGAGAAGACCCUAAGAAUUAUAAUUAAAAGUUUUAGGUAAAAAAGAAAUUUUCGUUGGGGCAACGUAGGUGCAAGACAAAAAACACUUUUUGAAAAAUAGACAAGCCGAAGUUUUUAUCUAUGAAUUAAUUACCUCAGGGAUAACAGCAUAAUUUUUUUUUAAGAUUAUGACCUCGAUGUUGGACUAG